GUAUGUGUGUGUGUGUGUGUGUGUGUGUGUGUGCUCUCAACUCUCUGUCUCCCCUCCCCCCAACUCUCUCUUCUUGUCUCACACCUUAACCUACCUGGCUGCCUCUGUGUACUGCGCAGACACACCCGGCCGCCACCAUUUCAACCAAUCACUGCUCCAACACACAGGCACCCAGGAGGUGUACUUCCUGUAUUUUUUUUUACGAGAAUGGAAUGGGGCUUCAGGCAGAAGAGGGUUUAGCACUCUACUUUGCCAUGGGGGGCCCACACAGGCAACCUCAUGGGUCGGGGUAACCGGGACUAAAGUACUGGAUAAGCUCGAUUUACGACAGAUCUGCCUAUUCAGUAACGGCCUCAGCGAGGACAAGGCAGCGAGAGGGAAAAACAAGGAGGGUUCAGGCGUAAACAUUACGCUUCUCACAAGAGUCAAAGUAUUGAGGGGAGAGGGAAGCUUUAAUUGAUUUAAAAAUGGAGGACAUUUGCUAUGUCAGCGGGACAAUGUGUAAACAGGGAACACAUUUUUGUGUGUUGUGCAAUCCCAUGCUUUUGAGUUGAACUGGACCCGGGGGGGGGGCAACAGACCUUCUCAGCAUACAACAUUCAGGCUCUCCAAAUUAUGCUACAAUGGGUACCAAAAGGCUUAGCUGGAACCCCUUUGAGACUUUAUCAAGCAAAGGCAAAUCUGACUCCAAGCUCCAGCCAGGUGGAAAGAUUUCCCGUGAUCCAAGUCCCAGCCCAGCAAUGACGGCCCAGUCGGAGCGAGAGAGAGACAGUAGGCGAGAGGAAGACCGGAGGAGCGAGAGAGAGACGUUAAAAAUGAGGGACAAAGCCAGAAGCAAAGAAACGGACCCACGGGAUAGGUACUAUGGAAGGGAUCGAGCUCCUGCACUCCGGCCCAGAGAGGGAGAAAGAGAGUGGAGGGAGAGAGAAAGGAGGCAAGGAGAAGACAGAAGCAGGAACGGCAGGCUGCUGUCGAAUCUAGAGGAU
ensembl:lncRNA